rnacentral:rRNA from 1 species
GACGAACGCUGGCGGCGUGCCUAAUACAUGCAAGUCGAACGAGAGCGACCGGUGCUUGCACUGGUCAAUCUAGUGGCGAACGGGUGAGUAACACGUGGGUAACCUGCCCAUCAGAGGGGGAUAACAUCCGGAAACGGAUGCUAAAACCGCAUAGGUCUUCGAACCGCAUGGUUUGAAGAGGAAAAGAGGCGCAAGCUUCUGCUGAUGGAUGGACCCGCGGUGCAUUAGCUAGUUGGUGAGGUAACGGCUCACCAAGGCCGUGAUGCAUAGCCGACCUGAGAGGGUGAUCGGCCACAUUGGGACUGAGACACGGCCCAAACUCCUACGGGAGGCAGCAGUAGGGAAUCUUCCGCAAUGGACGCAAGUCUGACGGAGCAACGCCGCGUGAGUGAAGAAGGUUUUCGGAUCGUAAAACUCUGUUGUUAGAGAAGAACAAGUGCUAGAGUAACUGCUAGCGCCUUGACGGUAUCUAACCAGAAAGCCACGGCUAACUACGUG